rnacentral:sRNA from 1 species
ACGGACGAUCUGAAACCGUCGUAAAGUUUCUGUAGCUGGAAAGUAAGGCUUAUUUACGUAUGUUCGAAGUUUCGUGCUCCGUCCUGAGUUGAUAAGUAAUUGCAUAAUUCUAGUUAAACCGCCCAUUGGGCACUGUUACUUAGCAACAAGAUAGGAAAGCACUAUGUCUGAAUCCGUUACCGGUACCGUCAAAUGGUUCAAUGAAACAAAAGGUUUUGGUUUCAUUGAGCAGGAAAACGGUCCUGAUGUGUUCGCUCAUUUCAGCGCAAUUCAGGGAACAGGUUUCAAAACUCUGGCCGAAGGACAAAAAGUGACCUUCACCAUUACGCAAGGUCAGAAAGGCCCUCAGGCUGAGAACAUCGAAAAAGUCUAAGACUGAUUCGAUCGUAAAUAAGGCGCUUCAGGCGCCUUUUUUUAU